UUGUAAAAUGUACAAUGAUAAUUCUUGUUUAUUUAAAGCAAAGAAUUUAUAUUCUUUUUUUUUUUAUCUUGGAUAUAUUUGCAAGAACCUAUUUGUGUGAGGUAACUUUCAAACUUUGAAAUUCUUCUCAUCAAGAACCAAUUCUAUAGAAUAACUACCAGUAACUGUUUUAACACCCUAACGCUCUUCUUUUUCGAAAGUAUAUAUCUUCGAGUUCAACUAGGGCGACGAUACAUCUACAUCGUUGAAGAAAAACAGUAUCUAAAUCUAAUAUCGUUAUUGUUAUUAUUAUUAUUAUUAUUAUUAUUAUUAAUAAUUUCUCUUCCGACAAAAUGGCAAAGCUCUUCACGAAAAUUGUUCGUCAAGUAAAACUGAUUACUUCACCGAACCUUUUGCAAUGCCAUAUAAGCAACAAGUCGAUAACCAAUCAACAUCAUCGCCAUAAUCAACAAGUCUACCGUUAAGUUAGUUAGUCCAACUGAUUUCACAGCUGGAAAAUCCGCAACAUGACAGUAGACUCCUUGUGAACAUUCGUAUAAGUCAUUCGCAUUGUACUGAACCCCAAGAAGAAGCUUGUAGCAGUAGUAGCUAUAGCUCAAGUACUUUAACCACACGAUAAAAGGCGGGAUUUGUUGUAUGUAAUAUCCUCCAGCGAUAAGGAAAACCAAGGUUGUAACCGAAGCCAAAGUGGUCGCUUGUUUGACAUCCAUAAGUAUGGCACCAAUGGCUAACCCGAGACUUUGGGCUACAAGGACAUUGUAGAGGACCACAAGUAGUGAUAGGACAAAGGUGGCUGGGUCGGCCUUUAACCCGCCCAUCCAGUAAAGUAUGAAAGUAAAGGCGGUUGGUAGCGCAAGCUCAAGUGGUAGGUCUCCAAUGGUUCUUGCAAGGAAGUAAGACGAAAGACGGUACAUUCCAGAUGAUCUUUCUUUUAUAAGCAUUCUUCUUUCUUGUGGAAAGGUAAAAACCGCGUUGUAGAGCGGGUAAAAGCCCCAAAAAACCGAGAAGAAGAAAAGCAUUGCUACCUGCAAGAAAAGAAUAAAACAGUUAUUUGGAUCGAGUCCAAAUGUUCUAGAGCUUAUGCAAGCAUUGUUUAAGCGUUUUUAACAAAGUAUAUUUAGGGUAACGGUAACUUAAUUAAUUGUUUCGACACGAAACAUAGAAAAAGUCAACAUGGUCAAAAGUUACUACCG
rnacentral:lncRNA from 1 species